CUGAAUAAUGUAGCUUUUUGUUUGAUGAAGAGGGACUAAGGCACUGCGGGAAAGUGCGAGAACAUAGUAUUGAGGAUGUGAAAUGUGAGACAAUCAGGAGCAAUACGAGAAGAGGAAUUCAAUCGGUGAGCAACCCUGGGGAAGCUAAUGAGAAAAGAGCAGUCAGAUGCUACUUGUGGUACAAGAGGCAGCGAAGGGGAAACAUAUACCCAAGCAAAGUAGAUUAUGCAAAACGAAGACAGAUAAAGAAGACUAAUGGUCCAGGAUGAAAGAGCAAGCACAGCAAGGGGGCCAUCUGUGUGUGGGAGCCACGUCUGGACCAUACUGCCUACCUGCGAGCACGCCUAAUGGCGCCGACGCUUAACUGCUGCGAUUUGCUUGACUGCGGUGUUUACACAAACAGUGCAUGGCUGAGCAACACUACAGCUGUAUCUCUAUGCCUUUCUUAAUAGUCCCUAAUACUAGAAUAGCACUGUUUUUGUAGCCAUGCAUUUGAUUUAUGAGCAGUGCUAUAGAUUUAUGUUGCUGUUUUUAAAUGUCUGUGCUCAGCAAAAGAAAAUAACCACCCUAUAUAAUAUUGUAAUUCUAAUCCAUCAGACACACACAUACAAAAGUAACAGGCAGGCUUCACUCUGAAUGUGACCAUACCAAGCAGAAAAAGCUUCUUGAAAUGUUUUUCCAUUGGUAUCAUGACAUAUAAAUCACUGGCAUUUGUCUAAGGGAUUCACACCCCAUUGUGGAUUCAUCAUAAGGGUUCUUUAUGGAUUUUGAUAAUAAACAUUGGGGAGAGAUUAUGUUAUUGUCAAGGAAGUACGACAGUAGCAUUUUAUUAGUAUUAUGUUUUCAGUCCAUUUUGGCCUUCCAAUCAUUACAUCACCAAAGUAAUUAACAAUACCUUGAUUUGAUUAAGUUUAAUUAAAACUUAGGGUACAUACUACAACCGUUAGACCACAGCAACGGUGAUGCAAAUUUUGUUAGCUUGUCUGUAGUGUUUUGUAUUGUGUGUUAGCAUUAGCCUAGUGGACCUUCGUGUAUGCCAUUUUAAAGAUAAUAUACAAUGCAUAAUACUCUUCCUUUUAUGUUUUGUUUGAGAAACCAACUGGAAAAUAAACAGCUUGAAGCAAGGACAUUCACCCACCCAUCUAGUCAAUCUCAGUCACAGGUGUACUGGAGUCUAUCCAAGCUGACUUUGGGCGAGAGGCAGGGUAAACCCUGGCCUGGUUAUUAUCAUAUUUCCAAUUCAUAUGUUAUUAUAUUCCAAGCUAUCUGAUUACAUGCAUGUUUCUACUUUUAACGCUAUGGGGCUUUCAGCCAGUCAUAUUUAAACUGGGCCUUGUGGGAAAACAAAAAUAUAAUUAUGUUGUCUGAACCAUGUCAUGUGUGCAGCCACUCUACAGAGUCCACCCUUGAAGCACUGAAAGUAGAUAUAUAAUGCAUUCAGUGAUUCAAUAUUGCGGUGUCAGAAGCUUGGGGAUCAAGCUUGAGGAAAGACAUUAAAUAUUAGUUUUCUUUUGCAAAAGAAUGUGGUAUCUCAUUCAUGCUGCUAAGUAAUGUAUGCGUCAUGUAAUUCUUAUGACUGUGGCUCCACUUGAAAGUAUGGUGGAGCUUCACACUUUUGUAAUUAUUGUCAUAUGUGUAAUUUUCUUCCAGCUCAACUGUGCAGAAGUAUCACUCACAACAAAGCCUAUACUUUAUGGAAGUACCAUACACCUUACCACAUAGCUUAACUGUUGUCUAUAUUGGAUGAUGGGUUCAGAAAAUGGCGCGUUGCAAAUGCCACUAUCACAGAUAGUAUAUGUAUAAACCAGGUUAAUGGCAGUUAGGAAAACUAACAAAAUAACUCAAACUAAAUGACAAUGCGGGAGCAAGAACAGGGAUUCCACAAGGGGAAUCCUGGAGGUCGUGGGUGUACUGACCUUAUGUCUCCCGUGUCACCUAUAUAAAAAUAUUUUAAUGUGAAAUAUUAUAUUUUAUAUCAUAUAUUUAACUGAUCAAUGUUACUUAGUUAUAUCAAAACUUUGCAUCCUAUAUGACUCACUUGUGCGGUAUAUACAGUAUUUACUUGAUGUUUUGCAUCACAUGACCACAUUUGUGCAAUUAUUUUUUGUUACAAGAAAAUAAAAAGUAAUUUACA